rnacentral:rRNA from 1 species
UCGGGAGCGAAGCAAUUGGAAGUGGUUCCAAGAAAAGCCUCUAAGCUUCAGUCUAACGAUGACCGUACCGCAAACCGACACAGGUGGGCGAGAUGAGUAUUCUAAGGCGCUUGAGAGAACUCGGGAGAAGGAACUCGGCAAAUUGGUACCGUAACUUCGGGAUAAGGUACGCCCUUGUAGCUUGACUGGCCUGCGCCAGGAGGGUGAAGGGGUUGCAAUAAACUGGUGGCUGCGACUGUUUAAUAAAAACACAGCACUCUGCAAACACGAAAGUGGACGUAUAGGGUGUGACGCCUGCCCGGUGCCGGAAGAUUAAAUGAUGGGGUGCAAGCUCUUGAUUGAAGUCCCGGUAAACGGCGGCCGUAACUAUAACGGUCCUAAGGUAGCGAAAUUCCUUGUCGGGUAAGUUCCGACCUGCACGAAUGGCGUAACGAUGGCCACACUGUCUCCUCCCGAGACUCAGCGAAGUUGAAGUGUUUGUGAUGAUGCAAUCUACCCGCGGCUAGACGGAAAGACCCCAUGAACCUUUACUGUAGCUUUGCAUUGGACUUUGAACCGAUCUGUGUAGGAUAGGUGGGAGGCUAUGAAACCGGAACGCUAGUUUCGGUGGAGCCGUCCUUGAAAUACCACCCUGGUUUGUUUGAGGUUCUAACCUUGGCCCGUGAUCCGGGUCGGGGACAGUGCAUGGUAGGCAGUUUGACUGGGGCGGUCUCCUCCCAAAGCGUAACGGAGGAGUACGAAGGUACGCUAGGUACGGUCGGAAAUCGUGCUGAUAGUGCAAUGGCAUAAGCGUGCUUAACUGCGAGACCGACAAGUCGAGCAGGUGCGAAAGCAGGUCAUAGUGAUCCGGUGGUUCUGUAUGGAAGGGCCAUCGCUCAACGGAUAAAAGGUACUCUGGGGAUAACAGGCUGAUACCGCCCAAGAGUUCAUAUCGACGGCGGUGUUUGGCACCUCGAUGUCGGCUCAUCUCAUCCUGGGGCUGUAGCCGGUCCCAAGGGUAUGGCUGUUCGCCAUUUAAAGAGGUACGUGAGCUGGGUUUAAAACGUCGUGAGACAGUUUGGUCCCUAUCUGCCGUGGGCGUUGGAUAUUUGAAGGGGGCUGCUCCUAGUACGAGAGGACCGGAGUGGACGAACCUCUGGUGUACCGGUUGUCACGCCAGUGGCAUCGCCGGGUAGCUAUGUUCGGAAGAGAUAACCGCUGAAAGCAUCUAAGCGGGAAACUCGCCUUAAGAUGAGAUAUCCCUGGGGACUAGAUCCCCUUGAAGGGUCGUUCGAGACCAGGACGUUGAUAGGUCGGGUGUGUAAGCGCAGUAAUGCGUUCAGCUAACCGAUACUAAUUGCCCGUAAGGCUUGAUCCU